rnacentral:rRNA from 1 species
ACGCUGGCGGCAGGCUUAACACAUGCAAGUCGAACGAAGUUAGGAAGCUUGCUUCUGAUACUUAGUGGCGGACGGGUGAGUAAUGCUUAGGAAUCUGCCUAGUAGUGGGGGAUAACUUGGGGAAACCCAAGCUAAUACCGCAUACGACCUACGGGUGAAAGGGGGCUUUUAGCCCUCGCUAUUAGAUGAGCCUAAGUCGGAUUAGCUGGUUGGUGGGGUAAAGGCCUACCAAGGCGACGAUCUGUAGCUGGUCUGAGAGGAUGAUCAGCCACACUGGGACUGAGACACGGCCCAGACUCCUACGGGAGGCAGCAGUGGGAAUAUUGGACAAUGGGCGAAAGCCUGAUCCAGCCAUGCCGCGUGUGUGAAGAAGGCCUUUUGGUUGUAAAGCACUUUAAGUGGGGAGGAAAAGCUUAUGGUUAAUACCCAUAAGCCCUGACGUUACCCACAGAAUAAGCACCGGCUAACUCUGUGCCAGCAGCCGCGGUAAUACAGAGGGUGCAAGCGUUAAUCGGAAUUACUGGGCGUAAAGCGCGCGUAGGUGGUUAUUUAAGUCAGAUGUGAAAGCCCCGGGCUUAACCUGGGAACUGCAUCUGAUACUGGAUAACUAGAGUAGGUGAGAGGGGAGUAGAAUUCCAGGUGUAGCGGUGAAAUGCGUAGAGAUCUGGAGGAAUACCGAUGGCGAAGGCAGCUCCCUGGCAUCAUACUGACACUGAGGUGCGAAAGCGUGGGUAGCAAACAGGAUUAGAUACCCUGGUAGUCCACGCCGUAAACGAUGUCUACCAGUCGUUGGGUCUUUUAAAGACUUAGUGACGCAGUUAACGCAAUAAGUAGACCGCCUGGGGAGUACGGCCGCAAGGUUAAAACUCAAAUGAAUUGACGGGGGCCCGCACAAGCGGUGGAGCAUGUG